UUAAGUUCAGCGGGUAUCCCUACCUGAUCCGAGGUCAACCAUAGAAAAUUGGGGGUUGCUGGCCAGCGUCCACCGAGACUCAAUCGCGAGGGUUUAAUUACUACGCGUAGAGCUCGAUAGCACCGCCACUGCUUUAAGGCCAGCCGUUGCCGGCAGGGCCCAAGACAAGCUGAGCUUGAGGGUUGAAAUGACGCUCGAAC
rnacentral:misc_RNA from 1 species